GACUGAAUUAAUAGUAUUUCUACAGCAAUGGUGACAGUGUACUGAAAGACAAGCAACACCAGGCAUGAUUCUCAACUCAAGAGUUCUCGGACUGGCAACCUUGGGACUUCAUCCACAGACCUGCCUGUCUGCAGCAGGCUUAUUCGGUGUUUUCUGUGUGACUGGUGACCUCGGGACUGCGUCCGCAGACCUGCCUGGCUGCAGCGGGCUCCACAAGGUAUGGUGGCACACACCCAUCAUUUCAGCGCAAGGGAAGGCUGAAGAAGGAGGAUCAUUACAAGUUCAAGGCCAACCAGGGCUACUUCAUGAGUACAAAGCCACCCUGAACUACAUAGUGACACCCUGUUUCAAAAAAAAAAUAAAGAGAGAGAGUUUUAGCUAUUUUAUCAUCCAG
rnacentral:lncRNA from 1 species